CACCGUAGAAACAGUUAAGACCGUCAUUGUUGCUAGCCGUGUUUUCCUGAGUCUCGAUAUUUUCCUGCAUAUUCAUUUCCGCUGUUUUUAUGUCCGAGAACCUGCAUAUUCAUUGACGAUCGAUCACGCGGCGAUUAACACAAGGGUCAUUGAAAAACGCGCGCUUGUUUUUUACACCAUCCAGUUUGUCGUCCGCAAAGAAGAGGGGGCGAUAAUAGCAGCAAUAAUAGGCAAAAGAGUGGUACAAUUGUACUGCGCUCGCGUGACGGUGGUUAUUCCAUUACGGGACAGGGAAGGAGACGGUGGUAAUAGUCGUCAUCGUUGUUUUUCCUAGUGACUGCACUAACUACGACGAGAUGGGUUACCUCAAGUCGACCGGCACCUUCAUCAUCUAUGUCGGCCUGUUUUUGGCCUUGGUUACGUUUCUCCCAGGCUUGCCGCCGCACGUGGAGUUCGAAGAGUACAGCAUAGCGUUACCGCGCACUGUCGAUCCCAAGGUAGGCCCGAAAAUCCGGCUACGUGGCGCCCAACGGAUGUACGUUGACGAGAUCUUAGGAGCCGAAAAUUUUGAUUCCUACAAUGGUGAACUAUACAGCGGGAUCCACGGCGGUUACAUCAUAAGAUUGGAGGAGAAUCGCGUCGUCCCGAUCGUGAAAUUCGGCAAGGAGUGCGAUGGCGUUUGGCAAGAACACAUAUGUGGCAGGCCAUUAGGAUUUAAGUUUGACAAGAAUGGCAACUUAUUCGUAUCGGAUACUUAUUAUGGAAUUUUCAAAGUGAAUAUGGCCACCAAAGAGUACAAAAACAUAGUAAAUGUUACUAAGCCAAUUGACGGAAAAAGACCAACAAUUCCUAACAGUAUAGAUGUCGCAGAAAAUGGAGAUCUUUAUUGGACUGAUAGCAGUACAGAUUUCCUUCUUCAUGAAGGAUUACAUACGUUUUUGGCUAAUCCAUCAGGAAGGUUUAUACGUUACAAUGCGGCUGAGAAUAAAAACGAGGUGCUGUUGCGAAAUCUCGGAUUUGCAAACGGGGUUAAAUUGAGCGACGACGAGAGCUUCGUAGUUGUCGCGGAAACGCUGAAAUCUUGCAUCGUGAAGUAUCACUUGAAAGGACCAAAGGCCGGGCAACAUGAGAUCCUUAUGGCGGGUUUGCCAGGUUUGGUGGACAACAUACAUAGUGACGGUCACGGUGCUUUCCUCGUCUCAAUAGUCUUAGGUCUUAGCCCUGAGCAUCCUAUAUUGUCGCAAAGCCUCAUGCCACAUCCGUACAUUAGAAAGAUGCUUUCGCGUUUGCUCACUUUGAUUGAAAUGCCAUUUGAACUGAUUCACCGUUAUUAUUCCAAUGUCUAUGUGGAGAAAAUCAUGAAUUGGCUCGGAUCGUUUCAAAUGGUAGCAAUAAUAGACACGAUGCAGAGAUCUAUGGUGAUGAGAUUCGAUGGGUCUGGUAACAUCCUAGAUAUCGUCUCCUCGGACAAUACGGACAUAAUCAAUGGUAUCAGUUCGGCUUACAUACACAACGGUUAUCUGUGGCUCGGUAGCCCAUGGAAUAAUUAUGUCGGGAGAGUGCCAUUGAAACAGGCUUUCCCCGACCUGGCGGUCGACGGUGAGAAAAGCGCCAAGAGCGAGAAGCAGCCUCCGAAGGCUGUUGCUUCGGAUGCGAACGCGGCCAGAACAAAACGGGACACGGGCUCUGCAACGACGGCGAAACCAACACCGAAGAAAACUGCCCCACCGGUAACACCGAAGCCAACCGCUGCUCCAGCUGCACCGAAGCUAACUCCUGCGCCUACAACAACGCCUAAGCCAACUGCGGCUCCUACGACGACGACGACGACGACACCCAAGCCAACUGCGGCUCCCACAACAACACCGAAGCCGACCGCCGCGCCGAAAGCAGCUCCCAAAGCCGAUAAGUCCACUAACGCAGACGUGAAAUCGUCGGAGACUAAGCGAGCCCCGAAAUCCACCAAUGACGAAAUUAAGAAUGACGUGAAAACCGGUACAAAGUCGAAUGCCAAACCCGAGACGAACGAUAGAAUGCGAGAAAACGCUGCGAAAACGAGUACAAAAUCCGGGAAGAAAAUAGAAAAAGAUGCUUCCGCACAAAAAGUGAAUCCGAGAAAGUGAGUUUAGCAGAAAUCAAGCCGUCCAAAGGAUUCUAACGAAAAAGAAAGAUUCCGACAAAACAAAUUCUAAUGAGAAACAAAACAAGCGACACACACACACAUAUACACACAGUGUAAAAUUAUCAAUACUUGCUAAGCGAUAACUAAGCUAAGCGAUAUACUAAUAUCUCAGAAAUUCCAUUUCCGCGAAAAAUUGAUGCAAGUUACUUACGAGGCUGGCAAUUUUUCGUGGCAAAUAGAUUCGUUUCGUGUAAAUUAAUUUGGAACCGAGUGCACAAUCGUGUAUAUACAUUCUAGAAGGCAACGCAACAAUGCGUGUGUUGAGUACUAGGUGCUCAGUGAGCUUUCGGAUUCAUUUGUACUUUUGAUCUUGAAUAAAUUCAAAAGUAUGCACUAAACAAAUUCGAGAACUCACUAAGCGAUCAGUGAGCGAUUGUAACACUGAAUGCACGCAAUAUAUUAAGAAGACCUGUUAGCUUUAUUACGCUGACUUAUUAACGAUAGAAGAUUAAGAAGGAAUGUUUGUGACUGUGAUGCGUGUGUAUAUAUACAUAUAUAUAUAUGAAGUUGAAAAUCUUGUUGUUUUUUACAAAUUUUAAUAUCCACACAUGAUAUAUAUAUGUGUGUGUGUGUGUGUGUGUGUGUGUGUGUGUGUGUGUGUGUGUUCAUUCCGUUGUUUAGUAUAUAUUCUACGUAUGAUUUUUAUAUUUAUAUAUUCUAAUUUUGUAGAUUUUGCGAGAGAUUAAAAUGCUCAUACUGAGUAGAUAAUUUUUUUUUCUUUAACGUUCCGUUUUUUCAUUAUCUUUGUUAUUAUCGCUAUUGAUAUUCUGUCUUUGUACUCAUUUUCAAAAGCGAAUGCGCAUAAUUAUGUUAAUUAUAAUUAUGCGCAAAUAUUAAACUGGUAACGCGAUUUUCUCGCACGGACGUAUAACAACCGAUAAUAUAUUGUAAUUACCUAAUUGUGUUACGAUUGUAGAUUGUCUUGCAUCCUAAUCUGUGUAAGUGUCGGUUUAAAAUACCUAUUGUGGGCCGAAAUAUUGCUCGCAUCACCAUAUUACCGUUGCUCUUAUCAAAGUUACGAUCUGUGUUGAAUCUUCUUUAUUCUUAGUGAUAAAAAGAAACGCUCCUUGAACUUUUCGCUAAUCCAGUAUCAUUAUAUGGCAUUAAUAGGCAAUCUUCGUUAAGUUUAUCUGUUUUUAUUUUUAUACUUACGUUUUUAUUUUAUUACGGUACAGGGAAUAUAUAUCGAAUAAGUUAUCUUUAAAUGUAUGUAUACGUGUGUAUGUAUGUGUGUAAGAAUAAUUUACGAGUAAAUUGUAGAACUAUGUAACGCAAGUUUGAGAACUUGAUGCACAAAAACGUUUCUGUUAAAGCUGAGUGUAUACACGCCAAGAAUUAUGACUCCUAAUAACUUUGUUAUCUUCAGGUCUGAAGUGUAAAGUAACCCGUAAGAAGUUGUACAGUUUAACAAUUAUAACAAUAAAGCGAACCUUUUAAAUAUUUA